rnacentral:rRNA from 1 species
CCUACGGGGCGCAGCAGUGGGGGAUAUUGCACAAUGGGGGGAACCCUGAUGCAGCGACGCCGCGUGAGCGAAGAAGUACCUCGGUAUGUAAAGCUCUAUCAGCAGGGAAGAAAAUGACGGUACCUGACUAAGAAGCCCCGGCUAAAUACGUGCCAGCAGCCGCGGUAAUACGUAUGGGGCAAGCGUUAUCCGGAUUUACUGGGUGGAAAGGGAGCGCAGGCGGCCUGCCAAGUCUGGUGUGAAAACCGGGGGCCCAACCCCGGGCCUGCAUUGGAAACUGGCGGGCUGGAGUGUCGGAGGGGCAGGCGGAAUUCCUAGUGUAGCGGUGAAAUGCGUAGAUAUUAGGAGGAACACCGGUGGCGAAGGCGGCCUGCUGGACGAUGACUGACGCUGAGGCUCGAAAGCGUGGGGAGCAAACAGGAUUAGAUACCCUAGUAGUC